rnacentral:rRNA from 1 species
CAGCCGCCGCGGGAAUACGGAGGGUGCAAGCGUUAAUCGGAAUUACUGGGCGUAAAGCGCACGCAGGCGGUUUGUUAAGUCAGAUGUGAAAUCCCCGAGCUUAACUUGGGAACUGCAUUUGAAACUGGCAAGCUAGAGUCUUGUAGAGGGGGGUAGAAUUCCAGGUGUAGCGGUGAAAUGCGUAGAGAUCUGGAGGAAUACCGGUGGCGAAGGCGGCCCCCUGGACAAAGACUGACGCUCUGGUGCGAAAGCGUGGGGAGCAAACAGGAUUAGAUACCCGCGUAGUCCCUGUCUCUUAUAC